rnacentral:rRNA from 1 species
GACGAGGGGUCCAAGCGUUAUCCGGAUUCACUGGGUUUAAAGGGUGCGUAGGUGGGCAAGUAAGUCAGUGGUGAAAUCUCCGGGCUUAACCCGGAAACUGCCAUUGAUACUAUUUGUCUUGAAUACUGUGGAGGUCAGCGGAAUAUGUCAUGUAGCGGUGAAAUGCUUAGAUAUGACAUAGAACACCAAUUGCGAAGGCAGCUGGCUGCACAAAUAUUGACACUGAGGCACGAAAGCGUGGGGAGCAAACAGG